rnacentral:tRNA from 1 species
GGCUACAUAGCUCAGCUGGUUAGAGCACAACACUCAUAAUGUUGGGGUCGCAAGUUCGAAUCUCGCUGUAGCCACCAUUU